GUUGCCGUAGCUCAGUGGAUAGAGCGUCUCCCUGCGGAGGAGAAGGUCGGAGGUUCGACCCCUCUCGGCAACGCC
rnacentral:tRNA from 1 species